rnacentral:rRNA from 1 species
CCUACGGGAGGCAGCAGUGAGGAAUAUUGGUCAAUGGCCGGAAGGCUGAACCAGCCAUGCCGCGUGAAGGUCAGUGCCCUAUGGGCGUUAAACUUCUUUUGUGCGGGAGCAAUACUGGUCACGUGUGGCCAGACGAGAGUACCGUACGAAUAAGCAUCGGCUAACUCCGUGCCAGCAGACGCGGUAAUACGGGGGAUGCAAGCGUGAUCAGGAUUUAGUGGGUUUAAAGGGUGCGUAGGCUGUGAGGUAAGUCAGCGGUGAAAUGCCCCCGGUCAACGGGGUGAAGUGCCAUUGAUACUGCCUUGCUGGAAUGCGGAUGCCGUGGGAGGAAUGUGUGGUGUAGCGGUGAAAUGCAUAGAUAUCACACAGAACACCGAUUGCGAAGGCAUCUCACGAAUCCGCGAUUGACGCUGAUGCACGAAAGCGUGGGUAUCAAACAGGAUUAGAUACCCGGGUAGUC